GGCGCCCGACAGGAAAUCGCGGCUCCACGCGUCUUGCAUUGACUUUGUAUGUAAACUCACCGCCCUGAACGCUCGCUUCGCUUUUGGUCUGAAAGCACAGUAAGAGUCUACAGCCAUGGUAGCAGCUCUAUUAGGCUGUACUUUGAACUGAAUGCUAACAUCAGCAUGUUAACAUGCUCACAAGGACUCGUUAAGCAGUAUGGAGGAUUAGUGGAGACAAAGAGAGAUCCAGGAGCUGACUCUCACUGAAGACAGAGACAGGAGGAAAAACUGUUGUUCUCUCAGCAGGAAAAUAUACUAAUGCUUCUCUAAAGACUAUUGUCAGUCAAAGAUUACUUUUCCAUUUCCAUGCUGAAUAAAUAUAAACUGAAAGAA